UACAGAGGGUGCGAGCGUUGUCCGGAUUUACUGGGCGUAAAGAGCGCGCAGGCGGUCGUUCAAGUCGCGUGUGAAAGCCCCCGGCUCAACUGGGGAGGGUCACGCGAUACUGAUCGACUCGAAGGCAGGAGAGGGUAGUGGAAUUCCCGGUGUAGUGGUGAAAUGCGUAGAUAUCGGGAGGAACACCGGUGGCGAAGGCGACUACCUGGCCUGUUCUUGACGCUGAGGCGCGAAAGCUAGGGGAGCGAACAGGAUUAGAAA
rnacentral:rRNA from 1 species